GACAACCACAUGGGAUCCACGUGACUACAGACAGUGUGUGUAAACAACUCUUCUUCCUGUUCAAACACAAUCACCUCUCCUGCCAACAUCAUGACCACAUCACGGAUUAGAGCCUUGAUUCUCAAGCGGAGAGAUGUUUUAGCUCCACCAUGUGUUUUGAGUAGCCAGGCAACUGAUUGUGUUUCUGCUGAGAUGGAUCCCACAGCCUCUCUAAAGUGAUCUGGUGGGGCUGUAUCAGAGUUGUAUCAGGGCUGUAUCAAGGUUGUAUCAGGGCUGUAUCAGGGUUGUAUAAGGGUUGUAUCAGAGUUGUAUCAGGGCUGUAUCAGGGCUGUAUCAGGGUUGUAUAAGGGUUGUAUCAGAGUUGUAUCAGGGCUGUAUCAAGGUUGUAUCAGGGCUGUAUCAAGGUUGUAUAAGGGUUGUAUCAGGGCUGUAUCAGGGCUGUAUCAGGGCUGUAUCAAGGUUGUAUCAGGGCUGUAUCAGGGCUGUAUCAAGGUUGUAUAAGGGUUGUAUCAGGGCUGUAUCAGGGCUGUAUCAAGGUUGUAUAAGGGUUGUAUCAGGGUUGUAGCCGUCCAUAUUUGACAUUUGCCGGGCCUAUAUGCAUAUGCACCCAUGAUGCUCAGAAUGACAGAAGUCAUAUUUAAAUUAGGGCAAUAACAAACCAUGCAACUCCUGACAUGAAGAGGACAAUAAAACAUCAUUUUCAAACAUUUGACAAAAUACAAAUUGGCGGACAACUCCGUUCUAAACACCGCACCUGAAAUCAAACAUCUGGCACAUUCAGGAAGAGGCUGAAUCUAAAGAUGCAACGACUAGGAAGGGUUGCCAUGGUAAUAUAUCGGGGAUUGUGUCUUUGUCUUCAGGACAAGGAAAGAGAGUUGUUAUGAAAACCAAUAGAACAGGAUGUGGGUUUCUUUCACCGACAGUGGCGUUGGCAGAAGGCCUCGCUGGUGACUGGGUUGUCGCUGUCAGUGAAAAGCGUCUGAAAUGGGUGCGACGGUAAUGUGUCUUGUGUAUCAUCUUUAAAAUGUUGAGACAAGAAGAAGGGUAGGGGUGUGUGGCGAAGAUGUGUCUCUGUCCUGAAAAUGCCCAUUUGGGGAUUUCUGUUUGUCUCAUCUCACCACAUCCACCACUAAUAAGCUGAGCGUCUGUCUUUUUUUGAUUCACCUCACACAGGAAGUCUGUUUUUAAAACAUAUAUUGCGAUUGAUAGGCCUACUGUGAGGAAGUAUUAGGCUAUUUGGGAAAUCUUUCCAAAAAUCUCCUCCCCCGGUAAUAACCAAGCCUCGUGUGAAAGAGCAAAAUAGCAUCAUAUCAACAUCAUAAAAUACCUUCAGCAAAGACAACUGUCUCUCCCGAGCUCACUGGUGCUGGGAAGUCUGGGAUACUUGAUACUAUGUUGCAACUUCCCUAGAGAUGGCUUCUGGCAGGGUCCAGGGGAUUGAUUUGAUACAAUGCUGCACUUCACUCCUGAUAGGUCAAAUCAAGACAGAUCUACAAAGGCAGACAGGCUGAGGAGACGGGUAAAUUUGUUUACCAGCUUUUUCAUCAU
ensembl:lncRNA